rnacentral:rRNA from 1 species
UGAAAUAUUUAAAUGGCUGCAGUAUAUUAACUGUGCUAAGGUAGCAUAAUAAUUAGUUUAUUAAUUGUAAACUGGAAUGAAUGAUUUAAUAAAAUAAAUACUUUUUUAAUUUAAUUUAUUUAAUUUAAUAAGUUAGUAAAAAUGCUGAUAUGAUUUAGAAAGACGAUAAGACCCUAUAAAAUUUUAUAAAAUAAAAUAGAUAAUAAAAUAUUUUAUACAUAAUUAUUUAUAUUUUUAUUUAAUUGGGGUGAUUUUAUUAUUUAAUAAAUUAAUAAAUUUAAUAAACAUUAAAUUAUGAGUUAACGAUCCAAAA